GGAGAGGUGGCAGAGUGGUUGAAUGCGACGGUCUCGAAAACCGUUAAGGUGCAAGCCUUCGAGGGUUCGAAUCCCUCCCUCUCCG
rnacentral:tRNA from 1 species